GGGGUAACAGGGCUCCAGCAUUCCAUAUGGAACUGCAGGCAGGGUGCACGGCAGAGGGAAGAGCCCAGAAGAUGCUCCUCUCCUGCUCAUCUGCCUCCUGCCCAGGGCUAGCGGGAAGAACUGUCUCCGCUGCUGGUCAGACUUGCCUGCCCCGAUUGACUACGAUCUGAAGAUUCUCUGGGGCACCCCAGGGCCUCCCACAGAACUCUCCAAGAGCCUCCACUCCCUCUUCCAAGAGGACAGCAUCUUGCUCCAGCACCGGUACCUUGAUCAGGAUCUUGUAGAAGAGGAGACAGCCAAAUUCUUCAACCAAGUAGACCAAGCCACUGGGAAGUUUAGAGAUGACAAAACAUCACUUCUGAAAGAGACUGAUAUGCACAAGGAUCUCCUUGCUGAGAGGCUGAACAAAAGAGCUGAGAAGCUGAGGGAGCAGGCCAGGAACCUUCAGAGCUAA
rnacentral:lncRNA from 1 species